rnacentral:lncRNA from 1 species
CCCUAACCUAAUCAGUGCAUGAAUCCCCUGAUAGGGUGAGCUGGUUGGUAACUGGAGGCAGGUGGGGUGUGGCUGGGGGAGGUGGUCCCUGGGCCUGUGCUUUUGGGGUGACAGAGUUAUUUCUCCCUCUGCUUCCUGGGGCCAUGUCUCCAGCUGUUUUAUCACACCCUUCCGCCAUGAUGUACUGCCUCAUCUCAGGCCCCGAGGAAUGGAGUCGGCCAUCUGUGGACUGAGACCUCUGAAACCGUGAGCCCUAAAAUGAACUUUUCCUCCACUGUUCUAGUCAGGUCUUUGGGUCCCAUUAGCAAAUAAGCUGACUAAAACAAAUGUUCAGCUGAAAAGACAUCUCUGCUGAUUGUUGUUCUCUUGCCAAUUAAAAUUCUCAAGGCUCUCAUGAUGUGUAGUUUAAUAAGCCCUAGAGGUAAAAAUCCAAUUUAUUAAAUAACAAAAAUGAAAGCAUCUAUGUGAGGAAUAUGUAAUAGGAUGAAUAAAUAAAAUAAUAUUUUAUUUUUAAACAAUAUUUGACCUUGGUUAGGCAAGGGAGACAUAGCAGACUUAACUAUUUGUUAGUUAAUUUUAAUUAAAUUUAAUUAAAAUUAGUUUUAGAAAUACAAAGCACCCUUUUUACUAGCUACCAGAUCUGGGGGAAAUGCUGAGAUCUGUCAGCCAUCCUGUGGAUCAUUUGAGGAUGAGGGGAUUUGUUUUUUCUUUUACACUUUCAAGAAUGACAAAGGAUUCUCUUUCCUGCCCCAGGGCCUUUCUACUUACUCUUUGCUCUACUUGGAGCCAAAGCUUCCAUAAUAUGGCUCAAUCUCUAAAUUCUCUUAGAUUCUUCUAUAUUCUUCUCAGACAUCUCCUUAUCAGAGAGACUUACCCUGUCCAUCCUAUUUAAAGACCCCCCAUGUCCCAUUCUUCCUCUAUGUCCAUUGUCCACUGUGCGUAUUUGUGCUUGUUGUCUUUUCCCCUCCACUAGAGGGAGCUCUCUGAGAGCAGAGGCCACUUGGUUCACUGCUACAUUCUCAGGGCUGACAGAGACUGGUCCAUACUUGGUGCUUAAUCAAUAUUUGUUGGAUGAGUGGAGGCGUGGGUGGAAAUCUUUAUGAAAUGGAAAUGUUAAGUAAUACAGUGUCCUCAGCAUCAAAGAUCAUUUCUGUUGUCAGGGCUAAGUCUUUAAAAGUGGCUAGGUUUGCUGGGUGUGGUGGUGCAUGCCUGUUAUCCUGGUGACUCUGGAGGCUGGGCCAGGAGGAUUACAAGUAGACACCAGCCUCAGCAAAUUAGGGAUGUAUUCAGCAACUUAGUGAGACCCCAUCUCAAAGUAAAUAAAAAGGUUCGAGGAUGGAGCUCAGUGGUCCAGUGCCUUGGGGUUAAGUCUCCAGUACAAACAAACCCAACACUGGAUUGUUUUCACUCGCAUAACGUCUGUGUCCAACAUCGCACACUCCGAUGAGGCAUGCUGCCAAAACCUCUCACAGGGAAGGUUCAGGCUCGGGCCAGUUCUGUGGCACAAAACGAAGAGGAAGGAACUUGGAUCCAGUGCUAGACUCACCUCAUACGGGCCACACAGCUGCAGCGAAGCCGUUUCAUCUCUUUGAAAAAAUCUUUUUCUUUAGUUAUAAAGUGCAAACACAGCACCAAGUCUGCCUGUCAGGGAUGGUGAGAGGCUGGAUAGAAAACAGAAGUGCUUAAACGCCUAAAGAGCCUCGUGAAAGUGUUAGGAGUUGGGAGCACGUGAAGCAGUCGUUGCCCGUCUGCUCUGGAGACCUGGUGCGACCUUCGAAGCCUACAUCUGAGCUGCUAGAGCGACCUCGGCAGUCCAGGGGUGGGGGACAGCGGGUGCAUGAAGACACUGCUCACCCGGGGAUGCAUCGUCUCUACACUGUACCUCAGAUGCCCAUGGAAGCUUCGAAAAAAAAUCGCUGGCUCCAGUUGCAUCUUGACAGGCUGAUGAAUAUCACAGGGCGCUGAUGGGCCACCAACUCCACAGAAUCGCCACCUGGAGGUUAGGAAGCACCCUGCCUGUGUCUGUGUCCCUUUGGGGGCCUUAUUCUUUUGCUCAUAUUGCUUUUUGAAAAAGUCUAUCGCCAGAGGUGGUGAUGCAAGCUGUGACCCCAGCAGCUCAGGAGGCUGAGGCAGGAGGAUCACAACUUCAAAGCCAGCCUCAUUUACUUAGUGAGAUGCUAAGCAACUCAGUGAGAC